GAUCCUGGCUCAGAAUCAACGCUGGCGGCGUGCCUAAUACAUGCAAGUCGUACGCGAAGACCCCGCAAGGGGCUGUUAGCGUGGCAAACGGGUGAGUAACGCGUGGGCGACCUACCUCAGAGUGGGGGAUAACCCUUCGAAAGGAGGGCUAAUACCGCAUGACAUGCUCUGUUUAGAUACAGGGACAUCAAAGCCGGGGAUCGCAAGACCUGGCGCUUGGAGAGGGGCCUACGUCCGAUUAGCUAGUUGGUGGGGUAACGGCUCACCAAGGCGACGAUCGGUAUCCGGCCUGAGAGGGCGGACGGACACACUGGGACUGAGACACGGCCCAGACUCCUACGGGAGGCAGCAGUAGGGAAUUGUUCGCAAUGGGCGCAAGCCUGACGACGCAACGCCGCGUGGAGGAUGAAGACCUUCGGGUCGUAAACUCCUUUCGACCGAGAUGAAUACCUUUCGACCUAAUACGUUGAAAGGCUGACAGUAUCGAGGGAAGCAGCCCCGGCUAACUCCGUGCCAGCAGCCGCGGUAAUACGGGGGGGGCAAGCGUUGUUCGGAAUUACUGGGCGUAAAGGGUUCGUAGGUGGCCAACUAAGUCAGACGUGAAAUCCCUCAGCUUAACUGGGGAACUGCGUCUGAUACUGGUUGGCUUGAGUGCAGGAGAGGAACGCGGAAUUCCAGGUGUAGCGGUGA
rnacentral:rRNA from 1 species